CCUACGGGUGGCAGCAGUGAGGAAUAUUGGUCAAUGGGCGGGAGCCUGAACCAGCCAAGUCGCGUGAGGGAAGACGGUCCUAUGGAUUGUAAACCUCUUUAGUCGGGGAGCAAUGCCGGGCACGUGUGCCCGGCGGGAGAGUACCCGCAGACUAAGCAUCGGCUAACUCCGUGCCAGCAGCCGCGGUAAUACGGAGGAUGCGAGCGUUAUCCGGAUUUAUUGGGUUUAAAGGGUGCGUAGGCGGAUUUUUAAGUCAGCGGUAAAAUGUCCGGGCUCAACCCGGGCCGGCCGUUGAAACUGGGGUUCUUGAGUGGGCGAGAAGUAUGCGGAAUGCGUGGUGUAGCGGUGAAAUGCAUAGAUAUCACGCAGAACUCCGAUUGCGAAGGCAGCAUACCGGCGCCCGACUGACGCUGAGGCACGAAAGCGUGGGGAUCGAACAGGAUUAGAUACCCUGGUAGUC
rnacentral:rRNA from 1 species